UUUCUUUUCAAAUAUUUAUGGUAUGUUCCCUGCCUCACCCAAUAGGGAGGAGGGAUACAAAAAAUUUUAUUGCUCUGAAGGGUAUAACCCAGCCCAACCGGUGCCACCCUGUGUGAAAAUCUCAGAGAUGCCAAUAAGCCACUUGAGACAGUAAGGCUCCUGCCUUUCUGUUCUCAUUUCUUAUCAGUCCUUGGUUUGCAGAGGAAGAAUGCUCGGGAAGAAGAAUUUCAUGGUUUCAAGAGGAGGGCAGAUUUGUGAACUGCAGCCCCUGAAAUGAAUUGCUUACAUGGCAUCUUCUGCUACUUGAAUGCUAGUCCUCGGGGAGGAGGCUUUCAGAUCUGUGUAUCACUCAUGAGAUCAACUCAGUGUAAACAACAAGGUAAAAUGCAUAUUCACAUUUAAUCUACCUAUAGCACAUAGCAUGGAGAGAACUGGAUACCAAGAUCAUGGCGUACUGUGUCUAAUCCAAUGCAUAGAUUAUGGUAAGAGUCAUUUGAGCAUUUCUUGGUCUGGAUUGUUCUGCUUUUGUGUACUUCUUCUUGUCUUUUAGCUUUGAGAGACCUGCUGAUCUGUGCAUGUCAGAGAGCCACGUGCCAUCCUGUGCUGUGCAAGUUUUUCCAGACACUCUCUUGAGUCAAAGCUGAUUUUCUCUCAAAUGACAUGCUGUCCCCUGCAACGUUGACAGUCUAUGUAGACUCCACAAUAUAUUUGCUCACCAUGUGAUCAAGUUUCUUUUUACAGCUGUCAAUUCUCCAGAUCAUGUGAUAUGCUGUGAUUCCCCUACAAUUCAAGGAUGCUUUGUCCAUUGCCCUGACUGGUGUCUCUUUGUAAGUGGCUUGAGCUGCAGUGGGAAGGGCUUUAGAGACACCAGUGACUGUUGAUGAAGAGAUCAGUUUCCUUUUAGGAGUCACUUAACCUUGCAGUUCCGUUCCACCAUGUUGCCUCCAGCAGUAGUAAGCUAUCCUGAAUACUGUCCUCUUGCAGUUUAGUGAAAUUGGCUGAUAUUUUAAAUGCCAGUAUAAGUGUGUGACCGAGCAUAUGCAUGCAAAUACCAUUUACAACUUGCAAACACAAAGAGUGACAAUUUGAAUUUUAACUGGAGGAUAAACAUGAAGAAGAUUGAUUCAUAAGCCCUUAAUAAAUGCCAGAAGCAUUUUAACCAGCAUUUAAUUUUUUAAAGCCAGAUCUUUAAGGAAGAGGUACUUCAUGUUAGAGAAUAGGAAAGCAAGGCUCAAAAAUGUGAAAUCCCUUGCUAAAGCCACAGUGAAGUGAGAUUGUGUCUCAUAUAAAUAUCAGAGAAGCUACACCCAUGAAGCCUCGUUAUCAUAGCUGCCAAGAGAGAGCCAGAGUGACAGAGAG
rnacentral:sRNA from 1 species